AUACCCGCUGAACUUAAGCAUAUCAAUAAGCGGAGGAAAAGAANCCAACAGGGAUUGCCUCAGUAACGGCGAGUGAAGCGNCAACAGCUNGAAUUUGAANUCUGGCUCUUUUAGGGUNCGAGUUGUAAUUUGUAGAGGAUGCUUCGGCGUCGGCUCCGGUCUAAGUUCCUNGGAACAGGACGUCAUAGAGGGUGAGAAUCCCGUAUGUGAUCGGUUGNCCUUGNCAUGUGAAGCUCCUUCGACGAGUCGAGUUGUUUGGGAAUGCAGCUCUAAAUGGGAGGUAAAUUUCUUCUAAAGCUAAAUACUGGCCAGAGACCGAUAGCGCACAAGUAGAGUGAUCGAAAGAUGAAAAGCACUUUGGAAAGAGAGUCAAAAAGUACGUGAAAUUGUUGAAAGGGAAGCGCUUGCAACCAGACCUGCCUGCAGUUGCUCAUCCGGGCUUUUGCCCGGUGCACUCUUCUGCUGUCAGGCCAGCAUCAGUUCGGGCGGUCGGAUAAAGGCUUCGGGAAUGUAGCUCCUCUCGAGGAGUGUUAUAGCCCGUUGCGAAAUGCGGCCAGCCUGAACUGAGGUCCGCGCUUCGGCUAGGAUGCUGGCGUAAUGGUUGUAAGCGGCC
rnacentral:rRNA from 1 species